rnacentral:rRNA from 1 species
UACAGAGGUCCCAAGCGUUGUUCGGAUUCAUUGGGCGUAAAGAGCUCGUAGGCGGUUUGUCGCGUCUGCUGUGAAAACUCGGGGCUUAACUCCGGGCCUGCAGUGGGUACGGGCAGACUAGAGUGCGGUAGGGGAGACUGGAAUUCCUGGUGUAGCGGUGAAAUGCGCAGAUAUCAGGAGGAACACCGGUGGCGAAGGCGGAUCUCUGGGCCAUUACUGACGCUGAGGAGCGAAAGCGUGGGGAGCGAACAGG